UCCCGGUUAACCCGGGCAGUCUCGUUAGAGUCCCCAGCUUCACCUGUUGGCAACUAACGAUAAGGGUUGCGCUCGUUGCGGGACUUAACCCAACACCUCACGGCACGAGCUGACGACAGCCAUGCAGCACCUGUGCAGAAGCCCCGAAGGGAAUGUACAUCUCUGUACACGUCCUCUGCAUGUCAAGCCUGGGUAAGGUUCUUCGCGUUGCAUCGAAUUAAACCACAUGCUCCACUGCUUGUGCGGGUCCCCGUCAAUUCUUUUGAGUUUCACCCUUGCGAGUGUACUCCUCAGGCGGUGUACUUAACGCGUUAGCUACGGCACAGCCAGUAUUUAAACCAGCUACACCAAGUACACAUCGUUUACGGCAAGGACUAC
rnacentral:misc_RNA from 1 species